rnacentral:rRNA from 1 species
UACGGGGGGAGCAAGCGUUGUUCGGAUUUACUGGGCGUAAAGGGCGCGUAGGCGGGUUGCCGCGUCCGGGGUGAAAUCCCACGGCUCAACCGUGGGGCGGCCCCGGGUACGGGCGGCCUCGAGGAGGGUAGGGGCAUGCGGAACUCUGGGUGGAGCGGUGAAAUGCGUUGAUAUCCAGAGGAACUCCGGUGGCGAAGGCGGCAUGCUGGACCCUUCCUGACGCUGAGGCGCGAAAGCCAGGGGAGCGAACGGG